UACGUAUAUCAACUUCAGUUGAUGUUUUUUUCUUCAGUAUGUGUUUUUUGCCUUUUUAAUUAGAUCUAUAAAGAAAAGAAAGAUUCAAGUCUCAUUUACCUUAAGGUCUGGUAGUUUACAAAAAACAGGGGCAGCCUAAGACUUGUCUCAACUUGUCAACGAUGAAUUGCCAUCAGAAUUUGGUUUAACAUCAGCGACUUUCUUGAUAACUAGAGAAAGUAUGCAUGUACAUCUCAAGAAGGACGAUUAAUCGCAGCUGAUACCCUGCUACAGGAUAUUUAUGGAUUUUACAGACAAUGUUAUGGCUACAAUUAUCUACUGAUUUCCAUUGUUUUACUGCUCGUGAGUUCCUCCACUUUCCUUGUGGCCUACCUCGUGCACAGAUUUAGAACCGUUAUAGAAGCUUAGGAUCUUUAGGAUCUUUAUCAAGGCAUUUCGACCAAUGAAAUCCAGCGACUACAAGACACACGUUUUCAUUGGCUACGCUGAUGAGGAUGUCGGCUUCGUGAGACAUAUUUUAUUAAAGUAUUUGGAAGAAAACCUAAAAGUUUCUACAUUUGUCCAUCAUCGUGACCUGACUCCUGGCUACACUGACCAACAGAUGUUUGAGGCCAUGAGAGACAGUUGGAGAAUUCUUUUACUUAUUACACAAAGUUUCUUGAACAACUACGACCUCUCGGACAUAAUCAUGAAGUAUGCAAGUCAUUGUGUGAGCCCAGCCAAUGAAAAACGUGUUGUCCUAUUGGUCCAACAAACUCAGUUGUACAACAUCCCAGGCUCCUUGUAUGAUGUCCUGGAAGACUCACGAAUCAUUGUCAUCUCUGAUCUGUCUGCUCACCUGAACUACGUACAGAGACAGGAAAUUAAACAAUGUCUUAGAGAUAUACAAUGAAUAUAAUGAUAUCAGCCUUUGAUAAAUUUCUCACACAUAGCCAGUUACUUGAGCAAUGACCAGUAGGUUGUAAAAUUAUAUCUAUAUAUAGAACUCCGUAUUAACUGGUACUAAGGCAUUUCACAACAUACGAAAACUAUUUAAACACAUCUAUGUGAAAAAAAUUGGUUUUAACUCUUUCUCUCCUGAUUGACGAUACCAUCGUUGAUUUGACCCCAUUAAAUUAACUUAAUUUUUGGGUUCAUAAACUUUAAUUGGUGUUAUAUAAUAAGGCAUGCACUUAUCUUUACCAAUUAUAACAUUUUCUGAUUAAAAGAAAAAUUUUACUGAAGAUUAGCCUUAACAGGUCAAUGAAAUAUAAAUGAGAAAAAGGAAUACUUCCUUUUGAUGGGGAAAUAAUCACGGAGAGAUAGAGUUAAGAAGCUAAAAAUUACUUAAUUUACUUGUUUCUUCACUAUUUUAUCUAGUCAACAAACAAUUUUAAAAUCUUAGCAAACUUUUUAUUUUUUCGUUAUUAUAGAAAAUCUUUGCUCUGACGUGUUAUCAUGCUGAAAUUUAUGAGACUAUUAUCACCUUUGAUAUUGCUUGAUGCUAUAUGUUUUAAAGUUUGUUGAAAAUCUUAGAAACAUGAUAUACUUGUAAACUUUAUUAAAAGGGAAUCUAAUUGUAUUCUAUUGAAGUCAUCGAAAGGGAUCAAGGACCCACAAUAAUGUUGCUAAGCUUGUCAUUUUUCUUAAAUUCGGCUUACAUUUUACUGGAGUACUCAAUCCUCUGGAUCCGCCCUUUAGUGCAUAAACAACAUAAAGACAUGUCCUAAUAGAAAGUUCUAAUACGACAAACAAAUAUUUUGAACUAAAAUAAAAAUACCAAUUUCAAAUUUUAGUCCACUAUGUCACUGAAGAUGGGGGGAGGGGGUCUAAUUGUAUAUUAUUGUGGACGCUAAUCUUGAAGGUUACCAAUUUCGUACAUACUGAUGCCUUAGUUAAAAUUAGUAUUUAUAAUGAAAUCAAAUAAGGAUAAUUAAACAAAUAAAUAGUUAUCAACUGAAUACAAUAACAUAUAUUAGCCUUUUUAGAUCCUAAGGUCAAUAACAAUUCUAUAGUGAUCCUCCUUUAUUUAUUAUAUCUAUAUCUGGUCAAAGAAAAUUGAAUCGGUUAACUAUAAAUAUAUAUAUAUAUAUAUAUAUAUAUAUAUAUAUAUAUAUAUAUAUAUUUAAAUAUAUAUAUUUAGAAAACAAAAGGCUAUAUCUAAUGUUAUAAACUAAAAACGACAUUACACAAUCUAUAUAUAUCUAGAUAUAGAAAUGUAGAUCUCGUGAGGUAAUUUGGCGAGAAUAUAAAAAUUGAUAUAUAUAACAACAAAAUAUAUCUCUUAAUGUAGAUUUUUAUGUAAUGAUUACAAAGACACUAAAAUUAUAUUUUUAUGUCCUAUAGGAGAGGUUUUUUUAUGUGUGUCAAAAUUUGACUGAAGAAAAUGUCUUCAAAACUGUGUUCGAAUUUAUGUGUCUUUUAACUAUUCAUCACUUUGUAACUUUGAUAGACAGCAACUUGAAGUCUGGAGCAAUCAUACUUCAAUAUAUGCGUUUUAAAUUCAAUGCUUUGCGUUUCAUGCAAACUCAACUUUUGGUAAAUGAAAAAAAAAAUGCAGAGAAUUAUACGAAAUUGAUUGGAAAAAAUCAACAACAAUAAACUGAAUAGUGUGAUCGAAUAGGAAAA